UAGGGAAUCUUCCGCAAUGGACGCAAGUCUGACGGAGCAACGCCGCGUGAGUGAAGAAGGAUUUCGGUUCGUAAAACUCUGUUGUUAGAGAAGAACAGCGCAUAGAGUAACUGUUAUGCGUGUGACGGUAUCUAACCAGAAAGCCACGGCUAACUACGUGCCAGCAGCCGCGGUAAUACGUAGGUGGCAAGCGUUGUCCGGAUUUAUUGGGCGUAAAGCGAGCGCAGGCGGUCAAUUAAGUCUGAUGUGAAAGCCCACGGCUCAACCGUGGAGGGUCAUUGGAAACUGGAAAACUUGAGUGCAGAAGAGGAAGGUGGAAUUCCAUGUGUAGCGGUGAAAUGCGCAGAGAUAUGGAGGAACACCAGUGGCGAAGGCGACUUUCUGGUCUGUAACUGACGCUGAUGUGCGAAAGCGUGGGGAUCAAACAGG
rnacentral:rRNA from 1 species